rnacentral:rRNA from 1 species
AUUGAACGCUGGCGGCAGGCCUAACACAUGCAAGUCGAACGAGUGGCGGACGGGUGAGUAAUGUCUGGGAAACUGCCUGAUGGAGGGGGAUAACUACUGGAAACGGUAGCUAAUACCGCAUACCAUCGGAUGUGCCCAGAUGGGAUUAGCUAGUAGGUGGGGUAAAGGGUCACCUAGGCGACGAGCCCUAGCUGGUCUGAGAGGAUGACCAGCCAAACUGGAAAUGAGAAACGGUCCAGACUCCUACGGGAGGCAGCAGUGGGGAAUAUUGGACAAUGGGCGAAAGCCUGAUGCAGCCAUGCCGCGUGUAUGAAGAAGGCCUUCGGGUUGUAAAGUACUUUUAGCGGGGAGGCGGUACCCGCAGAAGAAGCACCGGCUAACUACGUGCCAGCAGCCGCGGUAAUAC